AUGGCAAGCUACCGCUUCCUCGUUCAGCAGAUCAGCGGGUACUUUGAAGGAUGCGAGUUCCUCCAUGUACCGCGGGCCGACAACGAGCCAGCUGAUACCCUGGCUCGAAUAGGCUCCACUCGGCAGGCAAUACCAACCGGUGUCUCUCUGCAACGCCUCCUCAAGCCGUCUAUCAAGCCGUCUCCAGAGUCCGAUUCCAUCUUCGUGCCGCCUGACCCCGACGCGGCCGGGUCCGGCUUGAAGAACCAAGCAUGCCACACCCGGCUCGGGGACUGCGGUAGUCGGCCCGGGGACUGCACCAACACAACAGGCGGCGGCCGACUCCAGCAUUUCACCACCCAGCCCGCCCGCCCUGGUCGCAGUAGCCGUGUUGGCAAUAGAAGAAGUCGCAGCUCCAUCAUGGGCUCAGUCCAUCCUCAACUUCCUAAUAAACCAAGAUCUGCCGGCUGA
rnacentral:rRNA from 1 species